CGCGGGGUGGAGCAGCACGGUAGCUCGUCGGGCUCAUAACCCGAAGGUCGCAGGUUCAAAUCCCCUGUCCCCGCAACCA
rnacentral:tRNA from 1 species